AGAGUUUGAUCCUGGCUCAGAACGAACGCUGGCGGCAGGCCUCAUACAUGCAAGUCGCACGAUUAAAGCUCCCUUCGGGGAGUGUAUAAAGUGGCAAACGGGUGAGUAACAGGUGGAUAAUCUGCCCUUUGGCGGGGGAUAACGGUUGGAAACGGCCGCUAAUACCGCAUGUGAUUGCUUUAUCUUCGGAUUUAGCAAAGAAAGGCGCUUCACGGCGCCGCCAAAGGAUGAGUCCGCCCCCCAUUAGCUAGUUGGUGAGAUAAUAGCCCACCAAGGCUUCGAUGGGUAGCCGAGCUGAGAGGUUGAUCGGCCACACUGGGACUGAGAUACGGCCCAGACACCUACGGGUGGCAGCAGUAGGGAAUAUUGCGCAAUGGACGAAAGUCUGACGCAGCCAUGCCGCGUGAGUGAUGAAGGCCUUCGGGUCGUAAAGCUCUUUUCUGAGGGAAGAACAUCCGGUGCAGGAAAUGGCACCGGCUUGACGGUACCUCAGGAAUAAGGAGCGGCUAACUCCGUGCCAGCAGCCGCGGUAAUACGGAGGCUCCAAGCGUUGUUCGGAAUUACUGGGCGUAAAGGGAGCGCAGGCGGAAUGAUUAGUCUGAAGUGGAAGUCCGGGGCUCAACCUCGGAAGUGCUUCGGAUACUGUCAUUCUUGAGAUCGUGAGAGGAAAGCGGAAUUCAGGGUGUAGCGGUGAAAUGCUUAGAUAUCCUGAGGAACACCAAUGGCGAAAGCAGCUUUCUGGCACUGAUCUGACGCUGAGGCUCGAAAGCGUGGGUAGCGAACGGGAUUAGAUACCCCGGUAGUCCACGCCGUAAACGUUGUCAACUAGGUGCGAGAGGUAUCGACCCCUUUCGUGCCGUAGCUAACGCAUUAAGUUGACCGCCUGGGGAGUACGCGCGCAAGCGUGAAACUCAAAGGAAUUGACGGGGGCCCGCACAAGCGGUGGAGCAUGUGGUUUA
rnacentral:rRNA from 1 species